UACGGGGGGGGUAAGCGUUGUUCGGAAUUACUGGGCGUAAAGGGCUCGUAGGCGGCCAACUAAGUCAUACGUGAAAUCCCUCAGCUUAACUGGGGAACUGCGUGUGAUACUGGAUGGCUUGGAUUUGGGAGAGGGAUGCGGAAUUCCAGGUGUAGCGGUGAAAUGCGUAGAUAUCUGGAGGAAUACCGGUGGCGAAGGCGGCAUCCUGGACCAUUUACUGACGCUGAGGCGCGAAAGCUAGGGGAGCAAACGGG
rnacentral:rRNA from 1 species